rnacentral:tRNA from 1 species
GAGGAUAUGGCUCAGUGGUAGGGCACAUGCCUAGCAUGCAUGAAGUCCUGGGUUCAAUUCCCAGUACCUCCA